rnacentral:rRNA from 1 species
GCACGGGGGGCCUACGGGAGGCAGCAGUGGGGAAUAUUGGACAAUGGGCGCAAGCCUGAUCCAGCCAUGCCGCGUGUGUGAAGAAGGCCUUCGGGUUGUAAAGCACUUUUGUUCGGGAAGAAAUCGUGCGGAUUAAUACUCUGUACGGAUGACGGUACCGAAAGAAUAAGCACCGGCUAACUUCGUGCCAGCAGCCGCGGUAAUACGAAGGGGGCUAGCGUUGCUCGGAAUUACUAGGCGUAAAGGGCGCGUAGGCGGACAGUUUAGUCAGAGGUGAAAGCCCAGGGCUCAACCUUGGAAUAGCCUUUGAUACUGACUGUCUUGAGUACGGGAGAGGUGUGUGGAACUCCGAGUGUAGAGGUGAAAUUCGUAGAUAUUCGGAAGAACACCAGUGGCGAAGGCGACACACUGGCCCGUUACUGACGCCGAGGCGCGAAAGCGUGGGGAGCAAACAGGAUUAGAUACCCUGGUAGUCCACGCUGUAAACGAUGAGUGCUAGUUGUCGGCAUGCAUGCAUGUCGGUGACGCAGCUAACGCAUUAAGCACUCCGCCUGGGGAGUACGGUCGCAAGACUGAAACUCAAAUGAAUUGACGG